rnacentral:rRNA from 1 species
UGGGGAAUUUUGGACAAUGGGCGCAAGCCUGAUCCAGCCAUGCCGCGUGCAGGAUGAAGGCUUUCGGGUUGUAAACUGCUUUUGUACGGAACGAAAAGGUGCCUUCUAAUAAAGGGCGCUCAUGACGGUACCGUAAGAAUAAGCACCGGCUAACUACGUGCCAGCAGCCGCGGUAAUACGUAGGGUGCGAGCGUUAAUCGGAAUUACUGGGCGUAAAGCGUGCGCAGGCGGUUUUGUAAGACAGAGGUGAAAUCCCCGGGCUCAACCUGGGAACUGCCUUUGUGACUGCAAGGCUGGAGUGCGGCAGAGGGGGAUGGAAUUCCGCGUGUAGCAGUGAAAUGCGUAGAUAUGCGGAGGAACACCGAUGGCGAAGGCAAUCCCCUGGGCCUGCACUGACGCUCAUGCACGAAAGCGUGGGGAGCAAACA